GCAAGUCUGACCAAUGAGGGUUGCGUGCUGUGAUCAGCGUUUUCUAUUUUUAAUGCCUUUAUUAGUUGUGUGUUGCUGCAACUAUGGCUCUAUGAGCUAUAAAUGAAUAUAGAAUCUUGAGGUCCUGACACUAAUACUAGAUGUUGCUGGCCAGUGACCCUAUGGCUAUAAGAGAUUGAGGGCCAUAACGUCUGUCAUCCCUCUCUUUCUGAGUCACAGUUGAUAGAUCCCGGCUUUCACCUUUGGGAGAUUGAGGCGAUGCUCUUCAGAAUAGGAUUUUUCUGCUUUAUAUAAUUAGAUAUAUAAUUAGAUCUUAGCCUUGCAUGGCUUCCAGUGGCAGAGUUUUCCUUGGUUUCUUGCUCUUGGUGGCACCUUUGUUGCCGUUGAGGUUGGGCGGUACAACGAGGAAUCAAGGCAAGCGGCAUUGCCCGAUAAGCCUCAGCGGG
rnacentral:misc_RNA from 1 species